GAACGAACGCUGGCGGCGCGCCUAAUACAUGCAAGUCGAGCGAGAAGACGUAGCAAUACGUUUGUAAAGCGGCGAACGGGUGAGGAAUACAUGGGUAACCUACCCUCGAGUGGGGAAUAACUAGCCGAAAGGUUAGCUAAUACCGCGUACGCUCCUUGGACUUCGGUUCAGGGAGGAAAGCGAUACCGUGGGUAUCGCGCUCUUGGAUGGGGCUCAUGUCCUAUCAGCUUGUUGGUGAGGAACGGCUCACCAAGGCUUCGACGGGUAGCUGGUCUGAGAGGACGAUCAGCCACACUGGCACUGCGACACGGGCCAGACU
rnacentral:rRNA from 1 species